rnacentral:rRNA from 1 species
GGGCCUACGGGAGGCAGCAGUGAGGAAUAUUGGUCAAUGGACGGAAGUCUGAACCAGCCAUGCCGCGUGCAGGAAGACGGCUCUAUGAGUUGUAAACUGCUUUUGUACAAGGGUAAACAUGAAUACGUGUAUUCAGCUGAAAGUACUGUACGAAUAAGGAUCGGCUAACUCCGUGCCAGCAGCCGCGGUAUUACGGAGGAUCCAAGCGUUAUCCGGAUUUAUUGGGUUUAGAGGGGUCGUAGGCGGAUUGAUAAGUUAGAGGUGAAAUGUCCGAGCUCGACUCGGGAACUGCCUCUAAUACUGUU